GGUGAGAUGAUACUAGUGUUGGAGGGUUUCCGCCCUUCAGUGCUGCAGCUAACGCAUUAAGUAAUCCGCCUGGGGAGUACGACCGCAAGGUUGAAACUCAAAAGAAUUGACGGGGGCCCGCACAAGCGGUGGAGCAUGUGGUUUAAUUCGAAGCUACGCGAAGAACCUUACCAGGUCUUGACAUCUUCUGCCAACCUAAGAGAUUAGGCGUUCCCUUCGGGGACAGAAUGACAGGUGGUGCAUGGUUGUCGUCAGCUCGUGUCGUGAGAUGUUGGGUUAAGUCCCGCAACGAGCGCAACCCUUAUUACUAGUUGCCAGCAUUCAGUUGGGCACUCUAGUGAGACUGCCGGUGACAAACCGGAGGAAGGUGGGGACGACGUCAAAUCAUCAUGCCCCUUAUGACCUGGGCUACACACGUGCUACAAUGGAUGGUACAACGAGUCGCGAAACCGCGAGGUUUAGCUAAUCUCUUAAAACCAUUCUCAGUUCGGACUGUAGGCUGCAACUCGCCUACACGAAGUCGGAAUCGCUAGUAAUCGCGGAUCAGCAUGCCGCGGUGAAUACGUUCCCGGGCCUUGUACACACCGCCCGUCACACCAUGAGAGUUUGUAACACCCAAAGCCGGUGGGGUAACCUUUUAGGAGCUAGCCGUCUAAGGUGGGACAGAUGAUUAGGGUGAAGUCUAAAAGGGGGGAACCAAAAGAAUCAAAAAAAAAAACUUUU
rnacentral:rRNA from 1 species